ensembl:lncRNA
GUCAGCAGACAAAGUGAGGUAGCGAAGAAACAGCUAUAAAAGAUAUUUUUAUAUAUAUAUAUAGAGAUCAACUGCGACUCCAAAUACAUGUGAACUGUUGACUUUUUCUCCCUUUGUUGUGUGUUGCAAUCAUUGUUUUACUAUUAAAUUCUUGCUCAAGCAAAAGUAAAAAUAUUUUGCAUUCCUGAGCACAACAGAAAAAUGGGUUUUAUACCCAGUCAAAUUCUAUAAUAUUAUUAAUACUGUCUGUGGGCCGUGGCUGCCAUGUGAACGACUCCUCUGCGGUCGAGGUCUGGCCACUUCUGUUCACGGGUUCCAAUAAACCCAGAUUACAAAAAUGCUGAAUUUAAAGCUUUCAAGCCAAUAAUCCAAUGGGUGACAUCACAACGACUACAUCCACUACAUUUUUUAUACAGUCUGUGGCUGUAACUUGGUCAGAACCACUGAUUCUAUGCGUACUGCAUGCUUAGUAUGUCCAGUAUCAACGUGUUAACAAGCAAUAAUUUGAAGACAACCCCAAAAAUUGUGAACACAAAAGUGUUAAAAAAUAGCUGCACAUUAAAUCCAAAUUUCAUUACCAUUUAGUCAAGUUGUUUUCUAACAUGUAUAACAGGUUUCCAAACAAAUCUUGAAUUUUUACCAUACGGGCAAUUAUGUUCUCUCCCUAACAAGAGGUCUUCUUACCUUUUUUAUUGUAACAACUACUGCUUGAAAUUGCUAACGGCUCUAGUUUAAUACUGAACGGACGGACGUGAGAGUGAUAUCUUACUCUAAGCAAAGAAGGCAUUCAUAGAAUAAUACAUACAUGAGGCCCCAGGAGACCAGAGGACACAGACACCAAGCUGUGAGUACAGCAUGAAGGGAUGCCAUGACAUAUAUUGUAGCAGCAGGAUUGCCCGAGCAGCACUCUACUCACCAACAUCCUCUGUUAUGCACGCACGGAUGCACACACACACACAAGCGUCUCCACCAUGACCUUAUCCCCAUGGUAAAUUAAUUGAGCUAAUUAAGGGUGUGUGUCAGUUCCAUUGCCAGGCAAUGUCCAUGCCUUAUCUCAAUCCCACAAUGCACUUGAUCACAAGCUGCUGUGUUUAAGACGCUCCCACAAAGUGAUUCAUUAAUCCAUGAGCGGCGGGUCGUUAAGACACACCGCGUCCCUCUGACUUCAAAGCGACUGUGGUGAAUGCUGGGAAGGAUGGAGGUUGUGUGGAGGCGGACAGUCAAGUUGCAUGUUCAGAACUACUCUGUUGAUCACACGCGAAAAGCCAACAGACAAGCUGAAUGUGAGGGUUAAAGGGCAGAGCGAAGCUAAAUCUCUGAAGGGUUUAGUUUGCGUCUGUCCACUGCUGAUACGUCUAAUCAGCAUUAACAAUUUGUCAGAAAAUGUAUUUCAGUCAAUGUUUUAUAUUGAAUCACAUACGCAAAACGUAAACACAUGUUUCUAUUUCAUCUGUUCCGUUUUUUUAUCUUUAAAGAACAUGCAAUGCAAUGUUAUCUUUUUGGACUGCUGCACAUCGUAGUUAAUUACCGAGCAAAGAAAUAGCGGCGGGAAUAAUUUUGCUUAUUGUCUCAGAAACUGCUCUUUCAACAGCCAUUCAAAUAAUUGGAGAAAAAUAACCAACUGAAAAUUGUGUACACAUAUCUAUUUAACUUCUUUGUUGUCCCCCCCUCAAAGCUUAAUGCCACAAUAGACCCAAAGAGAUUCAUUCUUCUCUCCGAGGAAAGGCAGCAGCUUUCAAGUUCAGUUCACUGAAGCUGCAAGACACAGGGAGAAAAAUGCACAUUUGAAGAUCAAAAGGGGGGCUGUAUUGUGAGUUUGUGGGUGUGUUUUUAUGUGUGUGCAUGAGGGAGAAAGAAAGAGAAGGAGCCACUGUGGACUGCAGCCGUAACCAUCAGCUGGUUGAAGCUUGAUUAAAUUGACUGACAAUGUCUUGUGUGGGAAGUCUGAACUUGACCUUUCUGACCUCCAGGCUGCACAUGAACCAUUCAUGCACACCGACAGAGCUGAUAAUAAAAUGCAUGCACGUGAAAACAUUUCUGCACACACACAACCACAUAAACAGACUCAGUUGAUCCAUCCAUCCUUGAGUGGACGUGUGAGGGGUGGGAUGCUAAUCGUACAGACUCCUCCGGGUCCUGGGGGAUGUGACCCGCCGCCUGGCGAGGAAGACAGGCGGAUCCGACAGACUGUUCCCAUUCACGGCAGGGGGCCUCCUCUGGGAGCUAUUCGUGUUUGUGUGUAGUCAUCUGGGGUGAAAGGGAAACUUAAAGGGGAAGAAGGCGACGCUCGGAAGUCAAUCGGCGAAUCGUCGAUUUGAAGCAAUUUGACUGGAGGGGACAAUCUGGGAAAUAUAUCAAAUAAGAAAGUACACCAUCAACCUCAGAAACCAUCAACCUUAGACAACCUCUUCAAAAGCACAGCAAUGCUCUGUAUAGAUUGUCGAUCCAUGUGUGUUAAUCAGACAUCAGGAAGCUUCAGGUCAGUGGAGCAGGGAAUGGACUUUCUCUGGUCCUGACAGGGAGACGCUGUCCAUAAUGGUUUUCUACCAGUGGAGAAAUUAACAAGCCAUUUAGAAUAGAGGAAUGUCAACUGGAAAACUUUCCUUACACCUUAGAUACAGAAAUGUGGUAAAAGCCAACCUUUAAAUUCCGUCACUGGGUUGGAGAAGUUGCCUUAUGUUUAUUUGAGCUGUGAAAAAAUGAGUGCAGAUAAAUGAGGCCGUAUGGAUCCUGACUGCUGCGGUAACUCUGUUACUGGUUUAUGCCUUUAAUACUAAAUGGAAAUAUUCCAAGCCUUAUGAACUGUGUGACACAUAAAUGCCAGAUGGUAUAAUUCUUUAGCGCAUGUAAAUCCUUUAGUUUGCACCAACCGACUGAAACGAUGAGCUAACAUCACUGCGAUGGAAUUCUCUGCCUUACAACUAGUCUACUGACGGUUGGCCUUUUGUUUAUUCAUUUUCCUACCAGAAACCCCGAGGACGGUAUCCACUGUAAUAAUCAGACAAGAAAUUAAAUCCUUACGAUUACUUAAUUGGAGAUGCUAAAACCUCAUCCAUCUGGUAUAAAGUAGUCAGGAAACACGAACUACCGUAUUUUCCGCACUAUAAGGCGCACUUAAAAGCCUUUAAUUUUCUCAAAAAACGUGCGCCUUAUAAUCCGGAGUGCCUUAUAUAUCGAUCAAUUGGUUAAUUGGUUGAUCUCAAGGCGCUCUGCCAAACAUGCCAAAGCUCGGUCUACGACGGCGAGAUGCUGAGCGGCGCUCAAGCGCGUGAGAUAUGGAGCUUGUUUCAGGGCGCGUCGGAGAAACAAAGCUGUCGUUCUCGCCGAGCACUUCAUGAGAUUAAAUAGCGAGAGACGGUGCCCUUUUCUCUACAGUAGCUGAACCAUUUUAACGGGGAAAAUAAGUUAUUCUACAGGCUGGCGCAUGUUUCUGCUUCUGCGUCUGCGUCGUUGCGUCGACGCACUCGUUUCAAUUCAUGGUUCUAAAAUUCUUGUGUGUGUUGCAGAGCAAUUCACCGCCAGAACAGGCGGAGUAACGUGUUUUUGUUGAAGACGACCUAGAGAGUCACGUCUAUUUAUUUAUUUGUUUAUUUAUUUAUCAUAGACUUUAUUGCCCCAUGCAUCGCCACUGCUGCUUUUCAUCGCGGACACAUUUGUCCCGUAUUUUCCUCCACAACUUUGUGCACCUCUCGACCGGCAAACCGGCGUUUGCGGAGAUCUCCCUCCACAAAUCGGGAGGCCGUCCGCGCGUCCUUAUAGUCCGCCAAUGGCGGCUUGUAUAAGCUCUUCAAUCUGAUCCGUUCUCUCGUAAACAUUCUUCGUUUUAAUAAUGGCGGUAUUGUGCUAUGAACCUCGCAGCAUCGAUCGGACCCUGAGAGCAGAGUCUCCACCUCCCCACAUCCACCCGCCCCGACGUCAAACGUUUGACUGCAGUAUCUUAUGCACCUUAUAAUCCGGUGCGCCCUAUAUAUGAAAAAUGUUCUAAAAUAGGUAAUUCAUUGAAGGUGCGCCUUAUAGUGCGGAAAAUACGGUACAGCUUUGGGGAUGUUCACCACCCUUGGUCAGCUUCGUAUGGAUACAAUGUGUACGCCUAUGAUGGGCUGAAGGUCAGCACCACCUGCACUUAACACCCACUCCUCUCCUUCCGACUCUCACACACACACACACACACACACACACACACACACACACAAAGCUUUCUCUCUGCGGUGACAGUAAACCGUCUCGUUGCACCCCCCACCAUUCAACUCCCACCCCCACAGCCCGACUCUUCACGGCUGUCACCUUUGCCUCGCCAGGAUAAACUAAACUGCUCACCGGAUUUCCUAAAGAUACGACUGCCACUUGUGAUGCUGCGGUUCUGCCAUGCGCUUGAUGCGACGCACACUGACAGAUACCAAUGGACUCCUCAGCUAAAAUAUACAAUUACAAUUGCACUGGGUUCAGCAUGUGAUAAAACACGAAGCCCUUUUCAAUUGUAACAAAACGAGAUUAAAAAGGAAAGGAGGGGCAAAUACAGAUCAUGGCUUUAUUGACUAGGGGAACAGAAUUUUGCAUGCAAGGAGAGGUGGAGGAAGGAGGGUGGAGGAAGGAGAGGUGGAGGAAGGAGGGUGGAGGAAGGAGAGGUGGAGGAAGGAGGGUGGAUGGGGGUUGAAGAAACGAGCGUCUCGCGCUUUGCAAGAAAUGUAUCAUAAUGUUCGCGCUGCGAGAUCAUUUGCCUCUUGACAGGAUCAUUACGAGAUUCAGUGCUCCCACUACCAUUACGUAAUUUCAGCGUUCCUCCUUGGAUGGAAUUUUAAUUGAAUUAGCCCGGCUGGUUACACAUGGUGUGAACGAUAACAUUUUCUGUCUAUCUGGGCUCAUUGAAUCCGGUGGGUUGGGGUGGGUGGGGGUUUAAGAAAGGCUAUUAAAAAAAAAAAGGUGGUUUUGGUUUGUUCCAAUAUGCUUUCUUCUGGGUCUCUCUCUCUCUCUCUCGGUUGCUGCUGGUCUUCCUGUUCAACAACAAUAACUGCCAUGAAAAUCACCGGCCAGGCCGAUGGGAGCCGACUGAGGCUCCGUAUUACGCACUCAGAGGCACUCUGCAGUCUAAGUGCCCAUGUAAGCUUAGGGCAGUGCGAGCAUGAUGUACGGUUCGGGGGUAAACGUCUAAGUAUUAACACCUCCAGAGAACAAACCUCCAACAGCCACUCAAGUACAUUCCCUUAAGAAUGAUUAAUGAUGCUCGUCAUGUUAUGAAAGGCAGGCAGAGGGGG